rnacentral:lncRNA from 1 species
CCUCUUAAAUCACAUACUUUUGAAGUCGUCUUUAUUGUAAAGAUCAAUAAAAAUAUUGUAGUUGUCGUAGACAUCAAUUUUAGUAGCACCUUUCAAAGUAAUCAAUUCUUUGAAUGUAGAACUAAGUCUAUCAAUUUGAGGACAGGGUUUAAGAAAUCGGCCCACAAUAGUGUACUUACAGGAUUCUGCCAUAAUGACAUAGUAAUCUUUGGCCUUGGAUAUCACAGUUGGUAUCCUGUUGUGCGUCGUUUGUCUAGCAAAAAAUUUUUCUUUAUCCGGCUGAGUAGAGUUUAGUGUUGAAGAUGAAGGAGCAGUGACAUUGUAGCAUAAGACUGAUGUUCAGUAAUUGUCUCUUUGUUAAGCUUCGUGACUGCUGGUGGGAUAUUUUCUCCAUGUUAACUCGCUGGAAGAGGGCCUUCCGGUGGCUCCAUCAGGUGGAGCGUGACACAAACGCGCUUUUGUAGAAGGAUAUGUUACUAGCCAUUGGAGAGAGAAAAGAGAGAAACCUGCGUCAGUGGAAUAAAAAAU